rnacentral:rRNA from 1 species
AUUGAACGCUGGCGGCAGGCUUAACACAUGCAAGUCGAGCGGAGAUGAGGUGCUUGCACCUUAUCUUAGCGGCGGACGGGUGAGUAAUGCUUAGGAAUCUGCCUAUUAGUGGGGGACAACAUUCCGAAAGGAAUGCUAAUACCGCAUACGUCCUACGGGAGAAAGCAGGGGAUCUUCGGACCUUGCGCUAAUAGAUGAGCCUAAGUCGGAUGAGCUAGUUGGUGGGGUAAAGGCCUACCAAGGCGACGAUCUGUAGCGGGUCUGAGAGGAUGAUCCGCCACACUGGGACUGAGAGACGGCCCAGACUCCUACGGGAGGCAGCAGUGGGGAAUAUUGGACAAUGGGGGGAACCCUGAUCCAGCCAUGACGCGUGUGUGAAGAAGGCCUUAUGGUUGUAAAGCACUUUAAGCGAGGAGGAGGCUACUGAGACUAAUACUCUUGGAUAGUGGACGUUACUCGCAGAAUAAGCACCGGCUAACUCUGUGCCAGCCGCCGCGGUAAAAC